AUUGAACGCUGGCGGCAGGCCUAACACAUGCAAGUCGAACGAGUGGCGGACGGGUGAGUAAUGUCUGGGAAACUGGCUGAUGGAGGGGGAUAACUACUGGAAAAGGUAGCUAAUAACGCAUACCAUCGGUUGUGGCCAGAGUGGAGUAGCUAGUAGGUGGGGUAAAGGCUCAACUAGGGGACGAUCCCUAGCUGGUCUGAGAGGAUGACCAGCCACACUGGAACUGAGACACGGUCCAGACUCCUACGGGAGGCAGCAGUGGGGAAUAUUGCACAAUGGGCGCAAGCCUGAUGCAGCCAUGCCGCGUGUAUGAAGAAGGCCUUCGGGUUGUAAAGUACUUUCAGCGGAGAGGCGUUACCCGCAGAGGAAGCACCGGCUAACUCCGUGCCAGCAGCCGCGGUAAUUC
rnacentral:rRNA from 1 species